rnacentral:rRNA from 1 species
GAAGCGGCAACAGUCUUCAAAUUUGAAAUCUGGCUCUUCCGGGGUCCGAGUUGUAAUUUGUAGAGAGUGUUUCGGGUGAGAUCACGGUCUAAGUCCAUUGGAACAUGGCGUCAUAGAGGGUGAGAAUCCCGUAUGUGACUGUGGAUCGAGCCCAUGUGAAGCCUCUUCGACGAGUCGAGUUGUUUGGGAAUGCAGCUCAAAAUGGGUGGUAAAUUUCAUCUAAAGCUAAAUACUGGCUGGAGACCGAUAGCGCACAAGUAGAGUGAUCGAAAGAUGAAAAGCACUUUGGAAAGAGAGUCAAACAGUACGUGAAAUUGUUGAAAGGGAAGCGCUUGCAACCAGACCUGUCCGUAGGUGAUCAGCCGCUGUUCUCAGUGGUGCACUCGCUCUGCGAUCAGGCCAGCAUCGGUUCGGGCGGUCGGAUAAAGGCCUUGGGAAUGUAGCUCCUUUCGGGGAGCCUUAUAGCCCUCGGUGCAAUGCGGCCAGCCGGGACCGAGGACCGCGCUUCGGCUAGGAUGCUGGCGUAAUGGUUGUAAGCGACCCGUCUUGAAACACGGACCAAGGAGUCUAACAUCUAUGCGAGUGUUUGGGUGUUAAACCCAUGCGCGGAAUGAAAGUGAACGGAGGUGAGAACCCUUAAGGGCGCAUCAUCGACCGAUCCAGAUGUCUUCGGAUGGAUUUGAGUAUGAGCAUAGCUGUUGGGACCCGAAAGAUGGUGAACUAUGCCUGAAUAGGGUGAAGCCAGAGGAAACUCUGGUGGAGGCUCGCAGCGGUUCUGACGUGCAAAUCGAUCGU